CCUACGGGAGGCUGCAGUCGAGAAUAGUCUACAAUGGUCGAAAGACUGAUAGUGCGACGCCGCGUGAACGAAGACUCCUUUCGGGGUGUAAAGUUCUUUUAUAUGUGAGCAGUGGUUGGUAUAUUAAUAGUAUGCCGACAGGGAUAUUAGCAUAUGAAUAAGCAACGGCUAACUCCGUGCCAGCAGCCGCGGUAACACGGGGGUUGCGAGCGUUGUCCGGAAUUACUAGGCGUAAAGGGCAGGUAGGCGGAGAUGUAAGUUUGAUGUUAAAGGUACUGGCUCACCCAGUGUACGGCAUCAGAUACUGCAUUUCUAGAAUGCGGUUGGGGAAGACAGAAUUCCUGGUGUAGCGGUGGAAUGCGCAGAGAUCAGGAGGAAUACCGAAGGCGAAGGCAGUCUUCUAAGCCGUUAUUGACGCUAAACUGCGAAGGUGUGGGUAUCAAACAGGCUUAGAUACCCUGGUAGUC
rnacentral:rRNA from 1 species